CACGUAGGGGGCAAGCGUUGUCCGGAUUUAUUGGGCGUAAAGAGCUCGUAGGUGGUUCGGUAAGUCGGGUGUGAAACCUCCAGGCUCAACCUGGAGACGCCACCUGAUACUGCUGUGACUGGAGUCCGGUAGGGGAGCGUGGAAUUCCUGGUGUAGCGGUGAAAUGCGCAGAUAUCAGGAGGAACACCAGCGGCGAAGGCGGCGCUCUGGGCCGGUACUGACACUGAGGAGCGAAAGCGUGGGGAGCAAACAGG
rnacentral:rRNA from 1 species